rnacentral:rRNA from 1 species
ACUCAAAUGAAUUGACGGGGGCCCGCACAAGCGGUGGAGCAUGUGGUUUAAUUCGAAGCAACGCGAAGAACCUUACCAAGGCUUGACAUCCCAUUGACCGCAUUAGAGAUAGUGCUUCCCUUCGGGGCAAUGGUGACAGGUGGUGCAUGGUUGUCGUCAGCUCGUGUCGUGAGAUGUUGGGUUCAGUCCCGCAACGAGCGCAACCCUUAUCCUUAGUUGCCAGCAUUCAGUUGGGCUCUCUAAGGAGACAGCCGGUGAAAGCCGGAGGAAGGUGGGGAUGACGUCAAAUCAUCAUGCCCCUUAUGUCUUGGGCUACACACGUGCUACAAUGGAUGGUACAAAGGGAAGCAAGACCGCGAGGUGGAGCAAAUCCCAUAAAGCCAUUCUCAGUUCGGAUUGUAGGCUGCAACUCGCCUACAUGAAGCCGGAAUCGCUAGUAAUCGUGGAUCAGCAUGCCACGGUGAAUACGUUCCCGGGCCUUGUACACACCGCCCGU